UACGUAGGGCGCAAGCGUUAUCCGGAAUUAUUGGGCGUAAAGAGCUCGUAGGCGGUUUGUCGCGUCUGCCGUGAAAAGUCCGGGGCUCAACUCCGGAUCUGCGGUGGGUACGGGCAGACUAGAGUGAUGUAGGGGAGACUGGAAUUCCUGGUGUAGCGGUGAAAUGCGCAGAUAUCAGGAGGAACACCGAUGGCGAAGGCAGGUCUCUGGGCAUUAACUGACGCUGAGGAGCGAAAGCAUGGGGGAGAACAGG
rnacentral:rRNA from 1 species